CGGGGGGAGCAAGCGUUGUUCGGAUUUACUGGGCGUAAAGGGCGCGUAGGCGGCCACCGCAAGUCGACUGUGAAAUCUCCGGGCUUAACCCGGAAAGGUCAGCCGAUACUGCGGGGCUAGAGUGCAGAAGGGGCAACUGGAAUUCUCGGUGUAGCGGUGAAAUGCGUAGAUAUCGAGAGGAACACCUGCGGCGAAGGCGGGUUGCUGGGCUGACACCGACGCUGAGGCGCGAAAGCUAGGGGGAGCGAACGGGAUUAGAUACCCCGGUAGUCCUAGCCUUAAACGAUGAAUGCUUGGUUGUCUGGGGUUUUAUAGUCCCCGGGUGCCGUCGCUAACGCUUUAAGCAUUCCGCCUGGGGAGUACGGUCGCAAGACUG
rnacentral:rRNA from 1 species